GUCCAGCCACCGCCUCCGCCUUUGCCUCCGCCUCCCCCUCUGCCCCCCAAAAGCCUCAUUGGUCACAACUGCUGCUCAAAUAUGCCUCUAGCACGUCGCCUCCCUCAAGAGCCUCGCCGGUCGCAGCUGGGUCCUGUCGCCGCCUCCGCCUCUACUAUUGCCUCUCGGAGCCCCAACGAGCUCAAGUUAAAUCUUGCACGCGCUUCGCUAUUCUCUCACCUGAGUUUUGGGAAAUCAAG
rnacentral:lncRNA from 1 species